AGAGUUUGAUCCUGGCUCAGGAUGAACGCUGGCGGCGUGCUUAACACAUGCAAGUCGAACGAUGACCUCCAGCUUGCUGGGGUGAUUAGUGGCGAACGGGUGAGUAACACGUGRGUAACCUSCCCUUAACUCKGGGAUAAGCCUGGGAAACUGGGUCUAAUACCGGAUAUGACUCCUCAUCGCAUGGUGGGGGGUGGAAAGCUUUUUUGUGGUUUUGGAUGGACUCGSGGCCUAUCAGCYUGYUGGKGRGGUAAUGGCUCACCAAGGSGRCGACGGGUAGCCSGCCUGAGAGGGUGRCCGGCCMCMCUGGGACUGAGACACGSCCCAGACUCSUACGGGAGGCAGCAGUGGGGAAUAUUGCMCAAUGGGCGAAAGCCUGAUGCAGMGACGCCGCGUGAGGGAWGACGGCYUUCGGGUUGUAAACCUCUUUCAGUAGGGAAGAAGCGUAAGUGACGGUACCKGCAGAAGAAGCGCCGGCUAACUACGUGCCAGCAGCCGCGGUAAUAC
rnacentral:rRNA from 1 species